rnacentral:rRNA from 1 species
AUUGAACGCUGGCGGCAGGCCUAACACAUGCAAGUCGAACGAGUGGCGGACGGGUGAGUAAUGUCUGGGAAACUGACUUAUGGAGGGGGAUAACUACUGGAAACGGUAGCUAAUACCGCAUACAAUCAGAUGUGCCCAGAUGGGAUUAGCCUGUUGGUGGGGUAACGGCUAACCAAGGCGACGAUCCCUAGCUGGUCUGAGGGGAGGACCAGCAAUACUGGAACGGAGAAACGGUCCAGACUCCUACGGGAGGCAGAAGUGGGGAAUAUUGCACAAUGGGCGAAAGCCUGAUGCAGACAUGCCGCGUGUAUGAAGAAGGCCUUCGGGUUGUAAAGUACUUUCAGCGUGGAGGCGUUACCCGCAGAAGAAGCACCGGCUAACUCCGUGCCAGCAGCCGCGGUAAUUC